UACGUAGGGGGCAAGCGUUGUCCGGAUUUAUUGGGCGUAAAGAGCGUGUAGGCGGCUUUACAGGUCCGUUGUGAAAACUCGAGGCUUAACCUCGAGACGUCGAUGGAAACCGUAUGGCUAGAGUCCGGAAGAGGAGAGUGGAAUUCCUGGUGUAGCGGUGAAAUGCGCAGAUAUCGGGAGGAACACCAAUGGCGAAGGCAGCUCGCUGGGACGUUACUGACGCUGAGACGCGAAAGCGUGGGGAGCAAACAGG
rnacentral:rRNA from 1 species